ACUCCUACGGGAGGCAGCAGUGGGAAGUAUUGCACAAUGGGGGAAACCCUGAUGCAGCCAUGCCGCGUGUGUGAAGAAGGCCUUGGGUUGUAAAGCACUUUCAGUAGGGAGGAAGGUAGUGUAGUUAACACCUGCAUUAUUUGUACGUUACCUACAGAAGAAGCACCGGCUAACUCCGUGCCAGCAGCCGCGGUAAGUACGGAGGGUGCGAGCGUUAAUCGGAAUUACUGGGCGUAAAGCGCAUGCAGGCGGCCUGUUAAGUCAGAUGUGAAAGCCCGGGGCUUAACCUCGGAAUUGCAUUUGAAACUGGCAGGCUAGAGUCUUGUAGAGGGGGUUAGAAUUUCAGGU
rnacentral:rRNA from 1 species